rnacentral:rRNA from 1 species
GGCCAGACUCCUACGGGAGGCAGCAGUGGGGAAUAUUGCACAAUGGGGGAAACCCUGAUGCAGCGACGCCGCGUGAGCGAUGAAGUAUUUCGGUAUGUAGAGCUCUAUCAGCAGGGAAGAAAAUGACGGUACCUGACUAAGAAGCCCCGGCUAACUACGUGCCAGCAGCCGCGGUAAUACGUAGGGGGCAAGCGUUAUCCGGAUUUACUGGGUGUAAAGGGAGCGUAGACGGCAUGGCAAGUCAGAUGUGAAAGCCCGGGGCUCAACCCCGGGACUGCAUUUGAAGCUGUCAGGCUGGAGUGCAGGAGAGGUAAGUGGAAUUCCUAGUGUAGCGGUGAAAUGCGUAGAUAUUAGGAGGAACACCAGUGGCGAAGACGGCUUACUGGACUGUAACUGACGUUGAGGCUCGAAAGCGUGGGGAGCAAACAGGAUUAGAUACCCCCGUAGUA